rnacentral:rRNA from 1 species
UACGGAGGUUGCAAGCGUUGUUCGGAAUGACUGGGCGUAAAGGGAGCGCAGGCGGCCAAGUCAGUCUGAAGUGAAAGCCCGGGGCUUAACCCCGGAAUAGCUUUGGAUACUGCCUGGCUUGAGUGUGCGAUAGGAAAGCGGAAUUCCAGGUGUAGUGGUGAAAUGCGUAGAUAUCUGGAGGAACACCGGUGGCGAAAGCGGCUUUCUGGCGCAUAACUGACGCUGAGGCUCGAAAGCGUGGGGAGCGAACGGGAUUAGAUACCCUGGUA